rnacentral:lncRNA from 1 species
CCAAAAGGAUAGGACAUGGAUUCACUCUUCUCUGCUACAUUUUUCCCAUCUUCUGUUCAGAAUCUCAGGGCAGAUUGAUUUUUUUGUUUUAAUCUGUCUCUUUCCUGGAUAAAACUCACUGUCCUUUUCUUUUACCUUUUUCUCAGGGAAAGAUGACAUCUUGUAUUUACUCCUUUUUUUCUUUCUUUUUUAAUUUUUCUUUUGUGACACUUUCAUGUAAUGCAACUUUUUAUUUGAUCAUAUAUGUUCUAUCAUUUAUUAUUCUCUCUUUAUAUUAUGGAGGACAAGGUUCUCUGGGCCAGGUAGAACUAUAUUUUUUCAUAUGUUUUCCUUUUAAGGUGUCACUCCAUUCAAAUUCUUUUUGCAAUUUUUAAUGAGAUGGGAAAUGACAUCU